AGACGACGUCGCCGCGGCCGCCCGUCUCCCUGGGCGAGUGCCACUCCAGGAUCACGGAGGUCUCGUUCACGAUGGAGAUCACGUUCCUGGGACUGGACGGGACACCUGCAGAUACAGUACAUGAAGGAAAUAUGAACAGGCUGGAUGCAAAGCCUCGGAGAGGAGCAGCCGAGAGCGAGGUCAGCGACUGGAUGUGACCUCUGCAGUGUCAUUAUUAUGGUCUGGCCGGGAUGACAGCCAGUCCUCCCGAAACAUGAUUAAACGGCGCUUGAUCUUUGGAGGCUGCCGGACGGGUCGUGUGCAAAGAAGGUGGGGGAACGACAAAGAGGUACGUGCUGCAGCCGCAUGCGUUACCCAGACCUGCAGUGCUGACAAAGGCACAGAGAAUCUGCUGAACGACGGUCCGUAGGUUGUAACAGUUAAAGACCACAACACUGCAUUGUGCUCAAAUGGGUUUGGAGAAGGGGAAGUGGACCGGUGCACACAUGAGUCACAUCUUCCCGUCCAGACCCAUUACUGGCCUCAUACGGUAUGCGCCCUUUUAAACAGCUGUGGCAGCCUCGGCGGCCGACGGCUCGACCGCAUCACCGGGCACAAAAGGCAGCGCAGACCCUCCGAGUAGGAAAUCGAUAUCUUUGCUCAGAAAUCGCACGGCAGGGCAACGCGUGCAGCCUCUGUACAGUAGGUCAGACUGAUGGGAACGGAGAAGGCUGUAAUAAUGCGCAUUUAAAAUAAUAAACCACAUGCUAACUAUUUUCUGUACAACUAAUACAGCAGCAGAAACUAUUUAUUGGUGAUUAAUAAAGUUGUACAAAAUUCUAUUUGCUAGCGCGAACGAUUAAAUGCUACUGUUCCCAUAAGUCUGUGCAAAGUGUUUAGUAUAUUGCUAAUGACCCACAAUCAUUUCUGUUUGUAUGACUGCAUGCAGGAACAUUGGAAUUUAUUUUCUAUACAGUGACUGCAUCAUCUUAGUUAAAUGUAAUUCCAGUGUGAUACAAAAUAUAAUAAAUGGAAGCACAACGGUAUUAUUAAAAUACACAAAUUACUUAUUAUUAAGUAAUGGAAAAGCCUUGACUUGGUGAAGUUUACUGAACUCAGUGACAGGCGGGGCUAAACAAAAGCAGACAGGUCAGUAUUUAUGCACUGCAAGCAUUCAUUUGCAUAUCUCCAUUCUAUGAAUUCUACUUGACUAUAUGUGUAAUUAAAGUGGGAAAUCCUGUAAAAUUAUGUUGUGCAUUAUUAUAAAUACCUGUCCAUUCAAAUGCAGCUGAGUAGAGGCAUUCCAGGAGAUGGACUACAUUUACAGGUGGACUCAGGCGUAUUUACAUACUGCAGCUGCCCUGAUACUAUAAAGACUUUAAGGUGCUACCUGAACUAGAUGUACACAAUGGACCUCCUAAAAUAAACACUUUGUGUUUAGCCAUCCAA